rnacentral:rRNA from 1 species
GAUGAACGCUGGCGGCGUGCUUAACACACGCAAGUCGAACGAUGAAGCCCAGCUUGCUGGGUGGAUUAGUGGCGAACGGGUGAGUAACACGUGAGUAACCUGCCCUUAACUCUGGGAUAAGCCUGGGAAACUGGGUCUAAUACCGGAUAGGAGCGUCCACCGCAUGGUGGGUGUUGGAAAGAUUUAUCGGUUUUGGAUGGACUCGCGGCCUAUCAGCUUGUUGGUGAGGUAAUGGCUCACCAAGGCGACGACGGGUAGCCGGCCUGAGAGGGUGACCGGCCACACUGGGACUGAGGCACGGCCCAGACUCCUACGGGAGGCAGCAGUGGGGAAUAUUGCACAAUGGGCGCAAGCCUGAUGCAGCGACGCCGCGUGAGGGAUGACGGCCUUCGGGUUGUAAACCUCUUUCAGUAGGGAAGAAGCGAAAGUGACAGUACCUGCAGAAGAAGCACCGGCUAACUACGUG